UACGUAGGGGGCAAGCGUUGUCCGGAUUUAUUGGGCGUAAAGAGCGUGUAGGCGGCCAAGUAAGUCUGCUGUGAAAACUCGAGGCUUAACCUCGAGCUGUCGGCGGAAAAUAUUUGGCUAGAGUCCGGAAGAGGAGAAUGGAAUUCCCGGUGUAGCGGUGAAAUGCGCAGAUAUCGGGAAGAACACCCGUGGCGAAGGCGGUUCUCUGGGACGGUACUGACGCUGAGACGCGAAAGCGUGGGGAGCGAACAGG
rnacentral:rRNA from 1 species